AAAACUGAAAAUGGCACGUUUUGGACGGCCAUCGCUUUCCCUGAUCCACACAGGGUUCCUGUUAGCGAUUGUUUUGUUACCAGAGUUUCUGGGGGCGGUUCCAGUGGAGCAGCACAAAGAGGAGGAAGUGACUGCAGUGUCUGGUGAUGUGAAAGCCGAGGCCAU